GAUGAACGCUGGCGGCGUGCCUAAUACAUGCAAGUCGAGCGAACGGACGAGAAGCUUGCUUCUCUGAUGUUAGCGGCGGACGGGUGAGUAACACGUGGAUAACCUACCUAUAAGACUGGGAUAACUUCGGGAAACCGGAGCUAAUACCGGAUAAUAUUUUGAACCGCAUGGUUCAAAAGUGAAAGACGGUCUUGCUGUCACUUAUAGAUGGAUCCGCGCUGCAUUAGCUAGUUGGUAAGGUAACGGCUUACCAAGGCAACGAUGCAUAGCCGACCUGAGAGGGUGAUCGGCCACACUGGAACUGAGACACGGUCCAGACUCCUACGGGAGGCAGCAGUAGGGAAUCUUCCGCAAUGGGCGAAAGCCUGACGGAGCAACGCCGCGUGAGUGGUGAAGGUUUUCGGAUCGUAAAACUCUGUUAUUAGGGAAGAACAUAUGUGUAAGUAACUGUGCACAUCUUGACGGUACCUAAUCAGAAAGCCACGGCUAACUACGUG
rnacentral:rRNA from 1 species